rnacentral:miRNA from 2 species
UGAGAUUCAACUCCUCCAACUUAA